rnacentral:rRNA from 1 species
ACAACAGGUGGAGCCUGCGUUAAUCGACUCAACGCCGGGAAACUCACCAGAUAAGACAGCUGAAUGAUAGUCGGGCUGAAGACUCUACUUGACUAGCUGAGAGGAGGUGCAUGGCCGUCGUCAGUUCGUACUGUGAAGCAUCCUGUUAAGUCAGGCAACGAGUGAGACCCACGCCAACAGUUGCCAGCUCGUCCUCCGGGAUGGUGGGGACACUGUUGGGACCGCCUCUGCUAAAGAGGAGGAAGGAAUGGGCAACGGUAGGUCAGCAUGCCCCGAAUUAUCUGGGCUACACGCGGGCUACAAUGGGUGGGACAAUGGGUAUCGACACCGAAAGGUGAAGGCAAUCUCCUAAACCCAUCCGUAGUUCGGAUUGUGGGCUGCAACUCGCCCACAUGAAGCUGGAAUCUGUAGUAAUCGUGUCUCAAAAUGGCACGGUGAAUAUGUCCCUGCUCCUU